UUAACAAACAGACAUAAUUUGUCUUCGGGAAUAAAACGCAAUAAGAUAUAAUUUCAGAAGUUGCAGAUUUAUAGAAUUGUUUUUAUAGAAUGCCUAGAAACGCUGCACCACGGUUAUUAAGCUCAUUGUUAAUUUUACUCUGGAAGGAAUAAAGAGAUUGUCUAGUGGUAGUCUGACAGGAAGGGUUUCACUUCCUCGAGAACCAAUUUCCUGUAACUGUAACAUUCGAUGCAGUAAUGAAUCCUUGUUGAAUACUUGAACAAAAAUCUUUAUUCAUAUGAUAAAUGUAAUAAUAUAAUUGAAGCUCGAACUCUCUAGUGUUAUUGAAGACUCAAGAGCCAGAAACCGACUAUCACUGAUCUGACCUUGUAAGAUAACCUUCCAAAAAUAAUAGCACCAGAGGCUACUUUUAAUUCAAAUUGAAGUACGAACGAUAAGUAGAAAUUGAUAUCGGAGCACAAACUGCUAGAUAGGUGGACAAUUCAAUGCAGAAAUUGAAAUAACACAAUAUAUAGUUCUGUACGAGUUUAAAAAAAUCUUGGAAGAUUUUUCCCCGUUAUCU